rnacentral:rRNA from 1 species
ACUCAAAUGAAUUGACGGGGGCCCGCACAAGCGGUGGAGCAUGUGGAUUAAUACGUCACUAACCGUAGAACCUUACCCAGGCUUGACAUCCCUGGAACCCCUCUGAAAGGAGGGGGUGCCCGCAAGGGAGCCAGGAGACAGGUGUUGCAUGGCUGUCGUCAGCUCGUGUCGUGAGAUGUUGGGUUAAGUCCCGCAACGAGCGCAACCCUCACCGUAUGUUGCCAGCAUUGAGUUGGGCACUCUUACGGAACUGCCCGUGCAAACGGGAGGAAGGUGGGGACGACGUCAAGUCAGCAUGGCCCUUACGCCUGGGGCUUCACACAUGCUACAAUGGCCGGUACAGAGGGUUCCAAACUCGUGAGGGGGAGGCAAUCCCAAAAAGCCGGUCUCAGUUCGGAUCGCAGGCUGCAACUCGCCUGCGUGAAGUCGGAAUCGCUAGUAACCGCCGGUCAGCUAAACGGCGGUGAAUACGUUCCCGGGCCUUGCACACACCGCCCGU